rnacentral:tRNA from 1 species
UUAUUCCUGUGGGAUUCGAACCCACGCCCACAUUAAUGGACCAGAACACUCAACUCCCGCUACGGGAUAAGGUUUGCCCUUGAGUCUGGCGCCUUAGACCACUCGGCCAUUUA